UUACACAUGCAAGUCGAGCGCCCGCAAGGGGAGCGGCAGACGGGAGAGUAACACGUGGGAACGUACCCUUUGGUUCGGAACAACCCAGGGAAACUUGGGCUAAUACCGGAUAAGUCCGAAAGGAGAAAGAUUCAUCGCCGAAGGAUCGGCCCGCGUCUGAUUAGCUUGUUGGUGAGGUAACGGCUCACCAAGGCGACGAUCAGUAGCUGGUCUGAGAGGAUGAUCAGCCUCACUGGGACUGAGACACGGCCCAGACUCCUACGGGAGGCAGCAGUGGGGAAUAUUGGACAAUGGGCGCAAGCCUGAUCCAGCCAUGCCGCGUGGGUGAUGAAGGCCCUAGGGUUGUAAAGCCCUUUCGGCGGGGAAGAUAAUGACGGUACCCGCAGAAGAAGCCCCGGCUAACUUCGUGCCAGCAGCCGCGGUAAUACGAAGGGGGCUAGCGUUGCUCGGAAUCACUGGGCGUAAAGCGCACGUAGGCGGCUUUUUAAGUCAGGGGUGAAAUCCUGGAGCUCAACUCCA
rnacentral:rRNA from 1 species